AAUGAACGUUGGCGGCAUGGAUUAGGCAUGCAAGUCGAGCGCGAAACGUAGCAAUACGUGGCGAGCGGCGAAAGGGAGAGGAAUAUGUGGGAACCUACCUUCGGGCCUGGAAUAGCGGCGGGAAACUGCCGGUAAUGCCAGAUAACGUCCCCGGACCAAAGGUGUGAUUCCGCCUGGAGAUGGGCCCACAUCCUAUCAGCUUGUUGGUGUGGUAACGGCGCACCAAGGCUAAGACGGGUAUGGGGUGUGAGAGCAUGCCCCCACUCACUGGGACUGAGACACUGCCCAGACACCUACGGGUGGCUGCAGUCGAGAAUCUUCGGCAAUGAGCGCAAGCUUGACCGAGCGAUGCCGCGUGCGGGAUGAAGGCCCUCGGGUUGUAAACCGCUGUCGUAGGGGAAUAACGGUCGGUGGGUUCGUCCAUCGAUUUGAAUGAGCCUAGGAGGAAGGACGGGCUAAGUUCGUG
rnacentral:rRNA from 1 species